rnacentral:misc_RNA from 1 species
AGGUGGGGCUGAUGACUGGGGUGAAGUCGUAACAAGGUAUCCGUACCGGAAGGUGCGGAUGGAUCACCUCCUAACAGGGAGACAACACAAUGAUUUUGAUGCCUGAGUGCUUUUAUUCUUAGGCCUAAAUCCUGUCACCUUAGGUCGAUCGGUACCUCAGCUUUGAAGUUAAGGAUCAGCAGCAAUGUUGAUUGCUUGAUGGAGAUUUUCAGUUCCUAAACUUUGUCUAGGUCACACCCCAAAAGGGAUGAGACUCCUGGGCCAUUAGCUCAGGUGGUUAGAGCGCACCCCUGAUAAGGGUGAGGUCCCUGGUUCAAGUCCAGGAUGGCCCAUUCGGUGUUGGGGGUUUAGCUCAGUUGGUAGAGCGCCUGCUUUGCAAGCAGGAUGUCAGGAGUUCGAGUCUCCUAACCUCCACUGACCGAACUUGAUUCCCAUCUCCAAUUCUUUUGGAGUUGAGCUCGAUUGGAGUGUGAUUUAGAUGUGUCCGCUGGAUGACCCCAGCUUCCUGUCAUUCCAAGUUUUAGGUUGAAGCCUUGAAUUUGGUUGAUAAGAUGCUGGGCUCGAAUCAAGUGAUCAAGCAAUUGAUGAUUUGAUUUGAAGUUCUAGCAGAACCUUGACAACUGCAUAGGUGAGUCUGGAAAAAACAAAGCAUCUUACAGAUGCAUUGUUUUGAAUCUGAUCUUCCGAAAAGGAGGUUGGAUCUAGAACAAUGAAAAUUCUUUUGAGCAAGAGCCGAGACUCUUGAACGUUCUUUGAUUCGUGUCGAGCGAAUCAGAGUUUGAUCUUGUUUUAGUAAUUAAAACUUGAGAAUCUGCUUUCAACGGCGGUAAGCGUUCAGGAGGUUAAUUGGUCAAGCUACAAAGGGCUCACGGCG